AUUGAACGCUGGCGGCAGGCCUAACACAUGCAAGUCGAGCGGAUGAAGGGAGCUUGCUCCUGGAUUCAGCGGCGGACGGGUGAGUAAUGCCUAGGAAUCUGCCUGGUAGUGGGGGAUAACGUCCGGACACGGGCGCUAAUACCGCAUACGUCCUGAGGGCGAACGUGGGGGAUCUUCGGACCUCACGCUAUCAGAUGAGCCUAGGUCGGAUUAGCUAGUUGGUGGGGUAAAGGCCUACCAAGGCGACGAUCCGUAACUGGUCUGAGAGGAUGAUCAGUCACACUGGAACUGAGACACGGUCCAGACUCCUACGGGAGGCAGCAGUGGGGAAUAUUGGACAAUGGGCGAAAGCCUGAUCCAGCCAUGCCGCGUGUGUGAAGAAGGUCUUCGGAUUGUAAAGCACUUUAAGUUGGGAGGAAGGGCAGUAAGUUAAUACCUUGCUGUUUUGACGUUACCAACAGAAUAAGCACCGGCUAACUUCGUG
rnacentral:rRNA from 1 species